GCCAGGUGCGGUGGCUCACGCCUGUAAUCCCAGCACUUUGGGAGGCUGAGGUGGGUGGAUCACCUGAGGUCAGGAGUUCAAGACCAGCCUGGCCAACAUGGUGAAACCCCAUCUCUA
rfam:Pan troglodytes isolate Yerkes chimp pedigree #C0471 (Clint) chromosome 1, whole genome shotgun sequence.